CCUACGGGAGGGCAGCAGUGGGGAAUAUUGGGCAAUGGGCGCAAUCCUGACCCAGCAACGCCGCGUGAAGGAAGAAGCCCUACGGGUUGUAAACUUCUUUUGUCAGGGACGAAGCAAGUGACGGUACCUUACGAAUAAGCCACGGCUAACUACGUGCCAGCAGCCGCGGUAAUACGUAGGUGGCAAGCGUUAGCCGGAUUUACUGGGUUUAAAGGGCGUGUAGGCGGGAUUGCAAGUCAGAGGUGAAAACCACGGGCUCAACCUGGGGCCUGCAUUUGAAACUGUAGGUCUAGAGUACUGGUGCGGCAGACGGAAUGCAUAGUGUAGCGGUGAAAUGCGUAGAGAUUAGGAAGAACACCAGUGGCGAAGGCGGUCUACUAAACAGCAACUGACGCUGAGGCGCGAAAGCGUGGGGAGCAAACAGGAUUAGAUACCCCUGUAGUC
rnacentral:rRNA from 1 species